ensembl:lncRNA
CUUAAAUAUCUCAUUCUAAUAUGACACCCCCCCCCUUUUUUGAGACAGGGUCUAGCUAUAUAUUCAUUCUUACCUUGCACUCACUGUGUAACCCAGGCUCACCUCAAAUUUGAUGUAAUCUGCCUGCCUCAGCCUCCUGAGUGCUGGGAUUACAGGUGUGCACCAUCACACCUGGCUGAUUUUUGUUAAUGUGAUAAAUUAACGUUCUGGUGCCAUGGCCUGCCUCGCAAGUGCAGGGUCCUGAGUUCGAUCCCCAGUACAAAAAAAAAAUUAACAUUCAAUUUGGCCUUGUUAAAUGUUUCCUUAUGAUUAUGUUCUGAAUAUGCAUCUUUGCACUUAGGAAUUAUUGGCUAGAAUAGGACUUGAGGAUGUAGCUCAGUGAUAGUUCUUGCCUAGCCUGUACAAGGCUCUAGGUUCAAUCCCCAGUACUGCCAAAAAAGAAAGUCUGCUGUGAAAUACACCAUAAAGAAAAUGAAGCCCAGGCACAGAGUUAGUGAAAAUAUUUGCAAAACACAUGUCUCAUAGAACAUUGAUUUAAAGAAAAAACUCAUUAAACAAUAAAAAGACAAACUUUUUAAAUAGGCAGAUCUGAGUAGACAUCUUCAUAAAGAAAAUACACAGAUGGCAAACAUGAAAAGAUGCUGAACAUUGUUUUUGUCAGCUACUACUGUACACUUAUUAGAAUGGUUAAUAUAUUAAAAACUGACAAAAGCUACUGUUGGCAAACAGAAGGAGUAACAGGAAAUCUCACUAUUGGUGGUAAUGCAAAAUGAUAAACCCUCUUAGCCAGUUUGCCAGUUUCUUACAAAACUACCUACUAUGUGAUGCAGUGGCACUUCUUAGUAUUUACCCAGUUGAGUUGAAAACAUAUCCACACAAAAAGCCUGCAAGUGAAAAGUUACAGUCAUUUUAUAUAUAAUUGCCAAAAAUAUUGUAAACGACCAAUAUGUCCUUCAGUGAAUGGAUGUGCUGUGAUACCUCCAUUAAGAGAAUUGUUAUACAUCAAUAAGUUAAACUAUGAAGAGAUAAGGAAGAAUUUCAAAUGCAUAUUUUUAAUCAGAAAAGCUCGUCUGAAAAGUCUACAUUUUGGAUGAUCUGAGUUAUAUGAUGUUCUGAUGGUAAAGAGGUUAGUCAUUGCGAGAGGUUUGAGGAUAUGGAGGAUCAUUGAUAAAGGAGCACAGGAGUUUUUUUAGAGUGGUGAAAUCUUUAUAAUGGCAAAUCAAGAUGUUAAACAUUUGUCAAUAUAAAAAAAUCAUAAAAAGCUGGGAAUUGUCACUAAGUGCAAUGCUCCUGGGUUCCAUCCUCAGCACAACACACACACACACACACACACACACACACACACAGACACACACACACGCACACAGAGUCUAUUUUAAAUUGAAUGCUUUUUAAAUCAGUUGUUUGAAUUUUGUAACUGAUUUAUGUAACCACGAAUUGUUAUAGGAACAGCUACAGUUUCUGCUUUUAAAUCAACAACAUGAACUUUAACUGUCACUUCUGGUUUAUAAGACUGGAAAAUUUGAUCAGGCUUUCUUGUCUCCAAUAGCAGAUCAAACAUAUAUGUUGACUUGACUUCAUCUAGGAGAAGUCACAUAAGUGUAUCUUCUUCCCCUUCAUAUGAUCAUUCUAGGUAAUCAUGAAGCGACAGCACUCCAGAUGUAUUACCUCUUCUAAAUCCAACAUCUUAUAAGCCAUUCCUACUGCUUCCUUUAAUGUCUUAUCCUUAUGAACUUCCAAUUUGUUUUCCAACAUUACUUAUUUCACAGGAUGCAACAAUAAUUUUACCCUGCAUGUAUUAUGCUCGAUUUCUCAUUGCCUCUUCUUCUUCCAAUUCUUUCUCUCUCUGUACCAAGUUAUUAAUAUGUUCAAGGUAUUCAUCCACUUCUAGAAAUUUUACAUUUCUUGUUGGAUUCUUCAGCAAAUAUAUCAGCAUAUAUGCAUUUGUUGAGCCUACAAAAACACUAGAACCAUAUCCUCGACUUCCUGAUGAUCUAUCAUGUGUUUUCUUAAUGUCCUCUUGUGUUAUUCUGCCGACAUGAUGAUCACUGAAGCUGUACCACUGCUCAUCACUGAAAGACUUUAUGCAAGCAUAAUAAUGACCACCAGCAGCACUUCCCAAAUGAACCAUAACAGAAAAACUCAUAGAUCAAGGAACUCUUUUCAAGACUGGGUUUGAAAUCUUUUCAGCUCCACUAUUUUUCUCAAGGCAGAUUCUUUCAUCAACAUCAUUGUCAUUAGAGGAAUCACUGCUCAUCUGGUCACUGUGACAGCUACCUUCAUUUUCUGCUCCACUAUCAGUGCAACUUUCAAUAUGGGGAGAUUUCUCAUCUUCAGCAUCAAUAAAUAUACUCAUAUCUAGCUCCUCUGGGAAUGUCAUUCAAUCAUUCAGUUUAAUCCUAUGCAUGGUUGUAUAAUCAAAAUCAAACCUUUUCAACUGUAAGGUCAGCAGAUAAGGGAAAUGCAAAAACACAAAG